CCCUUAGAUGUUCUGAACCGCACGCGUGUUACAAUGAUGUGUUCAACGAGUAUAUAACCUUGACCGAGAGGUCUGGGAAAUCUUUUUAAUGCACAUCGUGUUAGGGAUAGAUUAUUGCAAUUUUUAAUCUUGAACGAGGAAUUCCUAGUAAACGCAGAUCAUCAAUCUGCAUUGAUUACGUCCCUGCCCUUUGUACACACCGCCCGUCGCACCUACCGAUUGAGUGAUCCGGUGAGGUCUCGGGAUUGUAGUCAGUUUCCUUUAUUGGGAGUUGACCGCGAGAACUUGCCCGAACCUUAUCACUUAGAGGAAGGUGAAGUCGUAACA
rnacentral:rRNA from 1 species